rnacentral:rRNA from 1 species
GGAAUAUUGCACAAUGGGGGAAACCCUGAUGCAGCAACGCCGCGUGGGUGAAGAAGUAUUUCGGUAUGUAAAGCCCUAUCAGCAGGGAAGAGAAUGACGGUACCGGACUAUGAAGCGCCGGCUAACUACGUGCUAGCAGCCGCAGUAAUACGUAGGGGGCAAGCGUUAUCCGGAUUUACUGGGUGUAAAUGGAGCGUAGACGGUUGUGCAAGUCUGAAGUGAAAGCCCGCGGCUCAACUGCGGAACGGCUUUGGAAACUGUGUAACUGGAGUGCUGGAGAGGUAAGCGGAAUUCCUGGUGUAGCGGUGAAAUGCGUAGAGAUCAGGAGGAACACCGGCGGCGAAGGCGGCUUACUGGACAGUAACUGACGUUGAGGCUCGAAAGCGUGGGGAGCAAA